CACGUAGGGCGCAAGCGUUGUCCGGAAUUAUUGGGCGUAAAGAGCUCGUAGGCGGUCUGUUGCGUCCGCUGUGAAAACCCGGGGCUUAACCCCUGGCUUGCAGUGGAUACGGACAGACUAGAGGUAGGUAGGGGAGAAUGGAAUUCCCGGUGUAGCGGUGAAAUGCGCAGAUAUCGGGGGGAACACCGGUGGCGAAGGCGGUUCUCUGGGCCUUACCUGACGCUGAGGAGCGAAAGCGUGGGGAGCGAACAGG
rnacentral:rRNA from 1 species